UACAGGGUGGGCAAGCGUUGUUCGGAAUUACUGGGCGUAAAGGGCUCGUAGGCGGCCAACUAAGUCCGACGUGAAAUCCCCAAGCUUAACUUGGGAACUGCGUCGGAUACUGGAUGGCUUGAAUUCGGGAGAGGGAUGCAGAAUUCCAGGUGUAGCGGUGAAAUGCGUAGAUAUCUGGAGGAAUACCGGUGGCGAAGGCGGCAUCCUGGACCGACAUUGACGCUGAGGAGCGAAAGCUAGGGGAGCAAACGGG
rnacentral:rRNA from 1 species